GGCCGCCGUCGAAGCCGCCUCGGCUUUGGCUCACCGUUUUUUGGUGCCCCAUUUCGACCCCGUGGUGGCCGAACUCGUCAGCUGCCCCAUAGAUUUAUGGGGUCUGGCCGAAAGAUCUGCGUCCCCUAUUUUGGCCCUAAAAGCCGCCAGAAGGAUUUUAGGGUUGGGGUCUCCUCCAAGGGCCGGAGGGGAUUUGGGGGACGGGGAGGGGGUGAAGGCGGUGGCCAGGAGGUUGGCGACGGUGGCCGAGGUGACCAAGUGGCCCCAAAGGUUGGCUGGGGCUUUGGGGGCGGCGGUGGGGGGGGAUUUGGGGUCCGGAUGGGGUGGGGAGGUGGAUAUGGGGCCGCCUUGGGACGGCGGGGAUCCGUUGGUGGGGCCUUUUGGGGUCGUUGGGGAGGAGUUUGGGGACGUCCGAGGUGAGGAGGGGGAGGUUGAGAUGGAGGUUGGGGGCGUCUGAAGGGACUUUGGGGUCAUCGAAAGGAUUUGGGGUCAGCCAUGAAGACUUUGGGGUCAACCAAGAGGACUUUGGGGGCAUCGAAAGGAUUUGGGGUCAGCCAUGAAGACUUUGGGGUCAACCAAGUGGACUUUGGGGUCAUCGAAGGGAUUUGGGGUCAGCCAUGAAGACUUUGGGGUCAACCAAGUGGACUUUGGGGUCUUCGAAAAAAUUUGGGGUCAGCCAUGAAGACUUUGGGGUCAACCAAGAGGACUUUGGGGUCUUCGAAAGGAUUUGGGGUCAUCCGUGAAGAUUUUGGGGUCGACCAAGAGGACUUUGGGGUCAUCGAAAUGAUUUGGGGUCAACCAAGAGGACUUUGGGGUCAUCAAAAGGAUUUGGGGUCAACCAAGAGGACUUUGGGGUCAUUGAAAGGAUUUGGGGUCAACCAAGAGGACUUUGGGGUCAACCAAGUGGACUUUGGGGUCAUCAAAAGGAUUUGGGGUCAACCAAGAGGACUUUGGGGUCAAGUAAGAGGACUUUGGGGUCAUCCAAAGGUUUUGGGGUCAUUUCCAUGGAGGUUGGGGGUCCCAUAGGGUCCUCAGUGACCCCAUAGUGAUGUGGGUGACCCCAUAAGGAUCUCAGGGGCCCCAUAGGGACGUUGUUGACCCCAUAGGGACCUUAGUGGCCCCAUAGCAACCUCAGUGACCCCAUAAGGACCUCAGUGGCCCCAUAGGGAUGUGGGUGACCCCAUAGGGAUCUCAGGGGCCCCAUAGGGACGUGGUUGACCCCAUAGGGAUCUCAGGGGCCCCAUAGGAACGUGGUUGACCCCAUAGGGACCUUAGUGGCCCCAUAGCAACCUCAGUGACCCCAUAAGGACCUCAGUGGCCCCAUAGGGACGUGGGUGACCCCAUAGGAACCUUAGUGGCCCCAUAGGGAUAUGGUUGAUCCUAUAAAGACCUUAGUGGCCCCAUAGGGACGUGGUUGACCCCAUAGGGAUCUCAGGGGCACAAUAGGGAUGUGGGUGACCCCAUAGGGACCUCGGUGGCCCUAUAGGGACGGAGUUGACCCCAUAGGGACCUUAGUGACCCCAUAGGGACCUCAGUGACCCCAUAGAGAUGUGGGUAACCCCAUAGGGACCUCAUUGACCCCAUAACGAUGUGGAUGAACCCAUAAAGACCUCAGUGACCCCAUAGGGACCUCAGUGACCCCAUAGGGACGUGGGUGACCCCAAAUGGUGCUGGCAGCCCCAUAAGUGUGGGGCGGUGUGCGGUGGUUGGAUGUAAUAAAUGAGAGUGAGUGCACGGCUCUGCCCCA
ensembl:lncRNA